rnacentral:sRNA from 1 species
GCUGGGUGCAGUGGUGCGUGCCUGUAAUUCCAGCAGCUGAGGAGGCUGAGGCAGGAGGAUCACUAUUUCAAAGUUAGCUUUAGCAAUUUAAGAAGAAAUUUAGUGAGACUCUGUCUCAA